rnacentral:rRNA from 1 species
GAUGAACGCUGGCGGCGUGCCUAACACAUGCAAGUCGAACGGAGAUUACGGACGGUUGUUUUCGGAUGGAAGGCUGUACUUCUUAGUGGCGGACGGGUGAGUAACGCGUGGGCAACCUGCACUAUACAGGGGGAUAGCAGCUGGAAACGGCUGGUAUGACCGCAUAAGUCGGCGAGUCCGCAUGGUUUUGCCUGGAGAUGAGCAAUCAGGUAUAGGAUGGGCCCGCGUCCGAUUAGCCAGUUGGCAGGGUAAAAGCCUACCAAAGCAACGAUCGGUACCCGGGCUGAGAGGUCGGACCGCCACAUUGGGGCUGAGCCACAGCCCAAACUCCUACGCGAGGCAGCAGUGGGUGAUAUUGCAAAACGGAGUAAGCUCUGAUGCAGCGACGCCGGGUGAGUGAAGAAGUAUGUCGGUAUGUAAAGCGCUAGCAGCAGGGAAGAUGAUGACGGUACCUGACUAAGAAGCCCCGGCUAACUACGUG